rnacentral:rRNA from 1 species
GAUGAACGCUAGCGGCAGGCUUAACACAUGCAAGUCGAGGGGUAACAUGAUCUUCGGAUUGAUGACGACCGGCAAACGGGUGCGGAACACGUACACAACAUACCUUUUACAGGGGGAUAGCCCAGAGAAAUCUGGAUUAACACCCCGUAGUAUAAUAAAGAGGCAUCUCUUAAUUAUUAAAAAUUUAUUGGUAAAAGAUUGGUGUGCGUCCCAUUAGAUAGUUGGCGGGGUAACGGCCCACCAAGUCGACGAUGGGUAGCUGGUGUGAGAGCACGACCAGCCACACGGGCACUGAGACACGGGCCCG